UGGGGAAUCUUGGACAAUGGGGGAAACCCUGAUCCAGCGAUACCGCGUGUGUGAAGAAGGCCUUCGGGUUGUAAAGCACUUUAGUUGGGGAAGAAAGGUAGUGUGUGAAUAACACAUUGCUGUGACGGUACCCAAAGAAUAAGCACCGGCUAACUCUGUGCCAGCAGCCGCGGUAAUACAGAGGGUGCAAGCGUUAAUCAGAAUGACUGGGCGUAAAGGGCGUGUAGGUGGUUGACUAGGUUUGAUGUGAAAUCCCCGGGCUUAACCUGGGAAUGGCGUCGAAAACGGGUUGACUAGAGUGAGACAGAGGGUUGUGGAAUUUCCGGUGUAGCGGUGAAAUGCGUAGAUAUCGGAAAGAACAUCAGUGGCGAAGGCGACAACCUGGGUCUUAACUGACACUGAGGCGCGAAGGCGUGGGGAGCAAACAGG
rnacentral:rRNA from 1 species